CAAGUCGAGGGGUAACAGGGAGCUUGCUCCGCUGACGACCGGCGCACGGGUGCGUAACGCGUAUAGAACCUACCUUUUACUGAGGGAUAGCCCUUAGAAAUGAAGAUUAAUAUCUCAUAGUAUUGAGAAGUGGCAUCACUUUUAAUUAAAGAUUUAUUGGUAAAAGAUGGCUACGCGUCCUAUUAGCUAGAUGGUAAGGUAACGGCUCACCAUGGCGACGAUAGGUAGGGGUCCUGAGAGGGAGAUCCCCCACACUGGUACUGAGACACGGACCAGACUCC
rnacentral:rRNA from 1 species